UGGUUAGGUUUCUUCCUAGGUAUCUUAUGCUUUUGGGUGCAAUUGUAAAUGGGAUUGACUCCUUAAUAUGAGGCUCUUCUAACAGCAACCUGUCAACAGCUCUUUCUAUGUCCCCUUAUUUCCCAGGUUCUACUGUGCAAACGCUGGAACGAGAACCGUGUAGACAACCUGGGGACACCCGCCCUGGAAUGUGGGUGAAAAUACUAAUUUAACAUCCCCUGUGGCACACCCAGAAGUUGGAACCUUCCGUGGUGUCAUUAGAAGAUCUUUCCAAGGCUGUGGCGUCUGAGUUUGAAGAAUCCUUGAAAGACUCUCCACCCACUUCUAUGGUCGUCUCAGAAAGCAGCGAAACUGUUUCAUCCUUGGAUUCAUUCCUCAUAACAAAAUUCAUGGAAAACAUCAGUGAGGAAGAACAAAUCAGUAUCAUCAAGGUGAGCUUCAGUAUCGUU
rnacentral:lncRNA from 1 species